GACAAAAACUAUGCACCAGAAGCUGAACGGAAUCACCUUCCAUGACUGAACAGCUGCAUGCAAGCCUCACACAUCCAAGCACAGAAGCAAGCGUUGGAUGCCAGGCGAACUUGAGCUGCUUGACUGUCCUGUGCCAGCUGUAAAGUUUGGUAGAGGAGGAAUGAUGGUAUGGGGUUAUUUUUCAGAGGUUGAGCUAGACCCCUCAGCUCCUUCAAACACAUUUGGGAUAAACUAUAACGGAGAUUGUGAGCCCGGCCUUCAAAUCCAACAUCAGUGCCUGACCUCACAAAUGCUCUUCUGAAUGAAGGUGUAAAAAGUUCCACAGACAUACUCCAAAAUCUUGUGAAAAGCCUUCACAGAAAAGUGGCAGCUGCCAUAAUUGCAAUGGGGGGGGGGGACCAACUCCAUAUUGAUGCCUGUGAAUGAAUGGUGAUAAAAUUUUGUUUAGGUGUAGUGGCCAGGUGUCUCAAUACUAUUGCCCAUUAUAGUGUUUGUCUCUUGAUUAUUUUCUGCCAGUUUAGUGAUUCUGUCCACUGAACAUAUUAGAACAAACAGUACAUGAAUAGCCUUCGCGUUAGUGCCAAAAACAUUAUUACUCAAAGAUAUAAUGCAUUAGUGUUCAAAAUAUAACCUCUUAAUCUUAACUCUAUUCCGGUGUCAUUACUGGUGGCCUCUGUGACAGAGCUAUGAAAAUCCCUGUCUUGCUUAGUCAUCCAUGCAGAACUGAAGGCUAACGUCUUUUCUUUCUCCCAUUCUAGGACAAUUAUGCAAACUGCUCAUUAAGAAUCAGUGUCUGUUUGAUUACAAGAACAUCUUUCAGAUUCCAGAAAGUCUGUUUUUUCACUCUGGUCUGCUGAAAUGACCCCCUUUCCUCCAUUAGGGAACAGAAACAUUGAUAUUCCUAUAACAGGAUUCCAACUCCCCAGGUAACUUUGACAUGGUAGAUCAACAGAUUCCCCUCAAGGAGCUUGAGAUAACAGGGUCUGCCCUGUGCAGCAUUUCUUACCACCUACUGAAAUUUCUUUCAGAAUAUAUUCUCUAUGUUCAGUCUAUAUAUUCAGUAUGGUUCUUAUAUCAGUAAUAUAACCUGGCAUGACAGAUGAAUGGAAUCAAAGACAUUUAUAAUUAUAGACUGGAAAAAAAGAGCAAUUUCACUUUGAUUAUAUUGCUAUUUUGGUCCAAGAAAUCACUUUCAGCAUACAAUGAUGAAAAGUUUACAGAAGAAAGCUAUUUGAGAACGUGACUAUUUUAUAGUCAUUUGCUAUGGCAUCACUGUUUAAGAGUGUGUCAGUAGUGCACUUCGUAUCACUUGCAAGCUUUCUGAUUUAGUGAUGUAUUUUCCAAGCACCAUGACCAUCUUCUGCACACAGCUCUUGUGCUGACCAUAAAAUUCCAGAUGCUUCAUUAGAGGUGGAUCUCUAUCAUCAUUACACUUUCUUGUAAGUCUGUUGUGUAGAGCAUCUGUUGUAAUACAUUCCUGCUUUUUAUUUAUGUAAAUCUAUUGUCGUUAAAGCCAACGCCAUCAGAAUUAUCAAGGAACCUGGGCAACAUGAACACAUAUUACACGGGACAAAGUGCCGCAUACCCACGCCAUUAACAGAAAGAGGACAAGAAGGAGCCUGAUUAAAAUUCAUUAUUGAUUUUACUUUCCAUACUUAGGGAAAAGGGUAGUUGUAUAUUUGACAAAUUUCUAAUUAACAUGUAAAGUACCUAUUCUCUCUUAGAUAACACCAAAUAUCAUUUUGUAAUCUUUAUCUCAUUGUUGGGUUAUAACUGAACAAUUGAAGGUCUAAGGUUGCCACCACCGUCAAACUACAUUUCCCAUAAUGCACCAACAAAAUGGCUGCUGAUCACAAAUGAAAACACCUGAACAGGAAUGGUAGCUCAGUCUUCAAACAAGCCAAGGAACAGCACAGCAAGCUCUACUCAAGAGUUUACUCCAAAGACACCAAUGGUUAUCAACCUGACGGUUCAAGCAUUGGUUGAUUAACUUGAAACCAACAAGUCUAAGUUGGUAAAUAAAACUCAACGAAAGGUGAAUCAAGAGUUGUCCCGGUGUGUCCUUUUGGAGUGGAACUAGAGUGGAACUUAACAGUUGAUAACCAACGGAGCAGCCUGGAGUGGAAGAUAAAGGGCUUCAUACCAGAUAAGCUGUGGACGGAAAAAGGAAAUAAAGAUGGCUGAAGAGGUCUUGGGGAAGACUGUCAAACUACUGAAGCAGGAGAGGACCAUUGCAAAGAGCAGCUUCACCAAACUGGCCAACUUCAUUUCAAGGGGAGCAAACACCAUGCUGAGAGCUGAAUUAAAGGAGGAAUUUGGAAAACUUUCAGACCGGUUCAGGUCAGUGCUUGAUUCUAAUGAGGACUACAGGAUCGGACUGGAUGCUGACGUCAAGGCGGCGGAUAAUGAAGCAGAACUUGAUAAGCAGCAAGAAACUGACAUAAAGACAACCAUAAAAGAUGCAGAAAUUAAAAUGGAGGAAGUAAGGGACAUUGUACAAACUAACAUGUGGGGAAGAUAUGGAAAGAACGAACUUAGAACAUCGAUUCUUGAAGCAGAAGAAGCAAUUGAUGAAGCUGACAGAGUUCAAGUCAGAAGUGACAAUCUAGAAGGCUAUGAAGGUCACCUCACCUUAUUGGAAGAAAAGAUAAACGCAGCCAUCUCAGCAAUGUCUGAGUGGGAGAGAUGGAUCCCCGAAUCAUCAAAAGAUGAACUGGCUGGGAGACUUAAAGAACUGAGAGCAACCCACAACAGGCUACAAUUGAGAAAAGCAGAGUUUGCCAUAUCAAGGAGGCUGGCUGAUCAAGGCACAAGUGGGAAACCUGUCCAACCACCACCACCUGUUGUGAAGAUAAAACCAACUACUCUGCCUGUCUUCCAGGGAAGUAAGAGAGAGUUCCACAGGUGGAGAAAGGACUGGGAGAGCCUGCAAAGGCAGGGGGAGCCCACUGGCUCACCUGAAGUUCUGAAGAUUCAGCUUCUGGAGAGUGUGAGCGAGACCAUUGCAAAAGAAUUAAGACUUUCAACCUAUACAACAGCAGCUGACAUGUUCAGGGUCCUGGACAAUAGAUACGGCAACAAGUCCACCAUUACAGUUGAAAUCCUCGAAGAACUAGAGAAUAUGCCUCCAGUGAAGGGGAACCAGCCGAGGAAAGUCAUUGACCUGAUUCAAUCUGUGGAGAAGGCACUGGCAGAUCUGACAGAGCUGGGGAACGUGGGAGCCAUGAAAAAUCCAUUAGUCAUCAAGUCCAUUGAAAGCAAGUUACCCGACUUCAUAAAAAGAGACUGGCUAAUGUUCCUGGUCAACCCUGAAAAUAAUGUCACUGCAGAUACUCACUUUGACAUGCUCUUGAAAUUCCUGAAGAAUCAAGAAGAGAUACUGGAGAGACUUGAACAACUUAAAAUUGUGGACAAGAUAGACAAGCCAGAGAAAAGGCAUGAGAGAAAGACUGCAUCAACCAGAGCUACAAAGAAAGAAGUUGAUGAGGGCUGUGGUGUCUGUGGUGAUCGUGGACACAGCAAAAAGGUCUUCUUCUGCAAGAAAUUUAAAGCUUUGAAACUGUCCGAAAAGAAGUCUGUUCUAAAGAAACUGGGAGCAUGCAGCAAAUGCUUAGGGUACCAUGAUGAUGACGGAUACUGCAGGGAAAAUUUUUUAUGCAGGAAUACAGACUGCAAAACGGGAGGAACUGGUCCAGACCACCAUUAUUUCCUGUGCCCAAAAACUGAAUCCAGAAGAGGAGAAGGGGGUAAAGGUGGAAGAGAUGAAAGAAGUAAAGGGAAGUUCACAGAGGAACAGGAGAAGUUCUUGUCACAACUUUCCCCAGAACUAGCAGAGCAAUGUCGAAAGGCAUUCACUAACAGGUCCUCAGUGACACUCAAAACAGCAGGCCAGUCUGAGCUACUGAAGAAGAAUGGGCUGAUUGAACUUCCAGUGAUCAUGAUGCUGAUGCAGGUGACGGCGAACGCAGGUCAAAAGAUUGGUACCCUCAUUGACCUAGCAUCUGACACCAAUUACAUAACCCACAAAGCUGCUGAAAGAUUGGGCCUGAGGAGUGAAGAGAUAACCCUGGUCAUACAUGGGGUUGGUGGAAUGACUAUGCGAGUCAAUACAAGAAGGUACCUCCUAAAGGUCAGAGUCAAGACUCCAAAAGGGACUGAAAGAGCACAUCAACUAGUCUGCUAUGGCCUGGAUGAAAUUGCUAAGGUAUAUCAAACAAUUCAGCCUGAGAAGUUAAAAAGAUUCUUCCCAGAUGUCCAGCUCGAAGACCUGAAGAGACCAGCCGAAGUCGAGCUUCUCAUAAGCCACCGUGAGGGAAGACUUGCACCUCAAAGAGUCAAAGUCAUCGGAGACCUUGUUUUGUGGGAAAGCCCAUUGGGGAAAACAGUGGGCGGAGCCCAUCCUGACUUAUUUGAAGAAGUGGAGGUGGCAGCAUAUGAGUCAAGAACCCAUUUCGCUCGCUCCAUGCGAACCGCUGCUGUCAGAUAUCAGGAGAUCACAGUUCCAACAACCAAACCAGGCUGGCAACUGCAGGAAGAUGCGCUGUCCAAAUUUACAUCUGCCAGUAACCGUGGGUUCCUUGAGUGGUGGCACUGGGACAGCAUCGGAGCCGCAUGCGAACCAAGGUGUGGAGGAUGUCGAUGUGGAAACUGCUCACCAGGAGGAAGAGACAUGACCUUAGCAGAGGAGAGGGAGCUUGAGAUCAUUAAAGGAGGCCUCACCUACAAGGAAAAGGAUGCUCACACACCUACACCACACUGGGAUGCAAAGUAUCCUUGGACUGAAUGUCCUACAUCUCUCCCUGAAAACAAAAGGGCAGUCCAGGCUUGCUUCUUAAGGAUGGAAAAGCAACUAAGCAAGGAACCAGAAUGGAAAGUCGCUUAUGCAACCCAAAUCCAUGAAAUGGUCGAAAGAGGUGUAGCCAUGAAACUCACCAGUGAAGUCAUGGAGAAGUGGACGGGACCAGUGUGGUAUGUCAGCCACUUGGUGGCGCCUAACCCUCAUUCAGUGACAACACCAGUUCGCAUUGUCUGGAACAGUAGCCAGAAAUACAAAGGGGUAAGCAUGAAUGAUCUUCUUCUAAAGGGACCAGAUGUCCUUAACCCCAUCAGAGCCAUCCUACUAAGAUUUAGAGAAGGCGUGCAUGCAGCUCUAGGAGACGUAAAGAAGAUGUAUAACUCUGUCUGGUUGGAGGAGCGUGAGAUGCAUCUACACAGAUUCCUGUGGAGAGACAGCCCAGAAAAGGAGAUCUGUGAAUACGCAAUCACCAGAGUUAACAUCGGUGACAAACCCGCUGGUUGCAUUGCACAGUUGGCUAUGAGGGAGACUGCGAACCUGCCCAAAUUCACUCACUUGGUGGAUGAACGAAGAGUUAUCGAAGAAGACAGUUAUGUGGAUGACCUCUUAACCUCCCACAAUGACCUGCACAGACUUGACAACAUCACAGCAAAUGUUGAAGAGAUUCUAAAAGCUGGAGGCUUCUUCCUUAAACCAUGGGUCCGGUCAGGGCAAAGUGGGAGGAAAGGAGCUGAAGCUGAUGUCCUAAGCCAGGAGCAAAGGAAAACCUUAAUUCUUCCAAACCAAAUGAGGGAAGGGGACAACAAAGCCUUGGGCAUUGGCUACCAAGUGGAUGAGGACAAGCUCUACAUGCUGACCGCUGUGAACUUUUCUAAAAGGAAGAAGAAAAUGCGAGUUGGCAAAGAUCUUCUCGAAGAGGAGGUGAGAACUGAAACACCUAACCCACUGACUAGAAGAGCUCUCUUAAGCCAAGUUGCUGCACUGUAUGACCCAAUUGGCCUAGUUGCACCGGUCAAGCAGAAAGGAGCGAUUCUUGUUCGUAAAGCAUUUCAAGAAGGAGGGGGUGGCAAACUGACCCAAGAAACCUGGGAUCAACCUCUCUCAGAAGGCCUCAGAGAAGAAGCUAUACAGCUUUUCGAAGAAUAUGUGCAGCUUGGUCGAGUGAAAUUCCACAGGAGCCUCACACCAUCUGACUGGAAAGGUAAACCUUGGGGCAUCACAUUCUCUGAUGGAAGUGACAAAACAUACGGAGCUGUCAUGUACUUAAGAUGGGAAACAACUCAAGGCAUUGAAGUCCGGUUAGUGGAAGCCAAAGCCAAACUCACACCCCUGGAUCAAAAGGGAGAUGCUGUGAAGGCAGAAAUAUGUGGCGCAGUCUUUGCAGCUAGGAUCAGGAAGUACGUGGAGAAGCAUGCACGAUUGAAGAUUGAGAGAUGGUUCCAUCUACUGGACAGUCAAACAAUCCUAGGAGCCAUUCAGCGAGACAAUUAUGGAUACCAAACCUUCUUCGCAAACAGAGUAGGUGAAAUCCAGAAGGCUGGGCCAGUGCAAGACUGGUGGUGGAUUCGUGGAGAUCUAAAUAUAGCUGACAUUAUAACAAGAGGAGGCACUCCUGACGAUUUGAAGGAGAGUUCCACAUGGCAAAAUGGACCAGAGUUCCUGAUGUGGCCAGUGGAGGAGUGGCCUAUUCAUUCAGCUGGAGAAGUUGCAGCCCAGGCCAGGGAGAGUGUAAACAAGCUUCAAACCAAGGCAUUUUCAGCUGUACUGACCAGAGCUCAAGCCAAAAUGAGUCAACAGAAUGAAGAUCCACUAACCACUCAGGAAAGUCCUUGUCAAGAGGGAAAAUCCACUCUGCCAAGAAUGAGGCCCACUGGCUGGGUUAGACAUCUCGUGAACAUAACACGGUUCAGUAGUCUGACCAAACUGAAGAGAGUAAUUGCCUGGAUCCGUCGAGCUGCCGAGCAGUGGCUGAAGAGGAUUUCAAACCCAAAACGGCCAAAGUGGGACGCAACAACACCCAAGCUGGCUGGGUUGACCAGCAAAGAGCUUGAGGAUGCAUGUGACGACCUCUUACUAGCAGCUCAAGUCGGUGUAACUUUUCCAGAAACAACUCUCAGCAGAUUAGCAGUAUACAAAGAUGUGAACACUGGGCUCCUACUUUGUGGAGGUAGAAUCCAGAUGUUCAAUGAGGAGAAGACUGCCGUGCCAGUUCUGCCAUUUGAAGCAUGGGUGUCUACUCUGCUGGCACGAAAAUCCCAUGAAGUUAACCAUGAGGGUGUAGCAGCAACCCUUCUCCGGAUGAGGAAGACAGCCUGGGUAAUAAAAGGCCGGAGAAUUGCCAAGAAGAUGGUUGACAGUUGUGUGAGCUGCAGGAAGAACAGGGCGAAGCAGUGUCAACAAAUAAUGGCGCACUUGCCUCCAGAGCGAACAGGCCCAGCUGCUCCUUUCGAAUUCACCACCUUGGAUCUGUUCGGUCCAUAUGAAGUGAAAGAUGAAGUUAAGAAAAGAACCAGACUCAAGGUAUGGGGAAUUGUCUUCUGUUGCAUGGCCUCCCGUGCCAUACACACUGACGUGGUAAGUGACCAGUCAUCUGAAGGUUUCCUGCUGGCCUACCAAAGAUUCACGUCACUGAGAGGGCACCCCAGGAAACUUUGGUCAGACCCCGGUACUAACUUUGUUGGAGCCAAACCUGCUCUGGAGAAGCUAUACAAAUUCUUUGACCAACUGGACAGGUCUCAAGUUGAAGACCUAUCUGCCAAGCAUGGAACGGAAUGGUCUUGGAAGAUCCACCCCUCAGAUUCUCCGCAUAGAAAUGGUGCAGCAGAGGCGGCUGUCAGAAUAGUGAAGCGGGCUCUAAGCAACCUUGGUGGAGAUGGUGUUUUCACCUGGGGUGAAUUCCAAACCUUUCUCUUCAUGGCAGCCAACCUUGCUAACGAAAGACCUAUUGACGCCAGGACUCAAAGUAGGGAAGACUGUGUAGAGUACAUUACCCCAAAUUCUCUGCUUUUAGGGCGUGCAAACCCAAAGGGAGACCCUGGAGACUUCCAGUUCGAUGGCUAUCCAUAUAAAAGGCUUAAAAGUAUCCAAACAGAAGUCAGCAAGUUCUGGAAGAAGUGGAGCCAAUUGGCUGGACCAAACCUGUUUGUACGGAACAAAUGGCACACUAAAGAGCGAAAUGUUGCUGUUGGAGAUGUGGUCUGGUUGGCUGACCAAAAUGCUCUGAGAGGACAGUACAGACUGGCCAGAGUUGUCAGCGUCAACACUGACAACAAAGGCAUUGUAAGAGAUGUGCUUGUGAGGACCUUUCCCAGCUAUCCUGUUCCCAUCAGAAAGGCAGCUGGAAAGGAGCCGGCCGCAGGAUCCAACAGGGUUAAACAAAAAAUCCCGGCCACAACCCUUCAUAGAGAUGUAAGGCGCCUUGUCAAUCUGAUUCCCAUUGAAGAACAAGAGUGACGGACUGGUGUGACCUCAUUGGGUUUGAGAAACCAUGAGCUCAAGUGGGAGGUGUUGGGUUAUAACUGAACAAUUGAAGGUCUAAGGUUGCCACCACCGUCAAACUACAUUUCCCAUAAUGCACCAACAAAAUGGCUGCUGAUCACAAAUGAAAACACCUGAACAGGAAUGGUAGCUCAGUCUUCAAACAAGCCAAGGAACAGCACAGCAAGCUCUACUCAAGAGUUUACUCCAAAGACACCAAUGGUUAUCAACCUGACGGUUCAAGCAUUGGUUGAUUAACUUGAAACCAACAAGUCUAAGUUGGUAAAUAAAACUCAACGAAAGGUGAAUCAAGAGUUGUCCCGGUGUGUCCUUUUGGAGUGGAACUAGAGUGGAACUUAACACUCAUCGUGUGGUUCUCUUUAGUAUCUAUGACACCGUCCUCCCAUUUAUUCAAGAAGGGAUUUUUAUAAUUUUUUGUUGAGUCACUAGUAAUUAUUAUUGGUGCUUAUUAUUUUUUACAAUUUUUUUUUACAUUAUAGCAAUGUAAACGUCAUGCAAACUCAUAUUAAAAAGCCAUUGCUUCUCAUUUCUGUUGUCUGCUAGAUAGUAUAGUAUAGUACCUGUAUAGUAACUGAAGAGGAGUAUAUUACUCUCCCAUGACCCUGUACUGGAUAGGAAUUAGGAAAAUGGAUGGAUACAAACACAGAUGCUCCUCUACUUAUGAACUUUCAGCUUACGAACUUUCAGACAUACGAACGUAUGUCCAAAUUGUUUUCAUUGGGCUCCCGUUUCCUGUCUGCAACAUCAAGUUUUUUUUCUGCGACCCAAUUCCGCCCAGUAUGACUUUCGGCCGCUACUCCCGCCGCGCAGCAACGUAGCGUGCGUACUCCCAGCAUCCUAGUUCUUUGUACUUCCGUAAACUGUUAAAAUGUUGUUAAAUAACGACUUACAAACAUUUCAAAUUACGAACGUAUCUCAUCCGUAAGUAGAGGACCGUCUGUAUAUUGUAGGAAUAUUGUAUACUGUAGCAUAUUGCGCUCAUGGGAGGUUUACUAACAC